rnacentral:lncRNA from 1 species
AAUAGUUAUUGAUAUUCAAAAAAUACAAAAAUAUUUUUCCAACCUCUUUGAAUGAUGAUAGAUCUAUGAAAAAUAUUCUCAUCAAUUUAUUAAUUGAUUUGAGAUUUAUUUGAGAUUUUAAUUCAAUUAGGUCAUUUUCAUGCUUUUUAAUUCAUUUAAAAUAGUUUCUGACUUCUAAAAAUGCUGAAAUUUUUUGUCAAACUUUGUUUGACCUUGUUGAACUUAGGAUAAUUCACUUGGAC